CUUCCUCUCUAAGAUUAUCUUGAGAGAAAAAAAAAAUUUUAACCAUCAAGAUACGAUCUCUGUAAGGGAGCUAGUACCUUGAUGAGAUCAAAAAGUUUCUGAUCAGAUUAGAGUCUCAUGUGGAUAUUCGUAGAGGUCGGACACUUGUGCGGCUAUAAGGGACCUUCGAAAGACAUCCAUGAUCAUUAGUUUGCGGUGA
rnacentral:lncRNA from 1 species